rnacentral:rRNA from 1 species
AACGUAGGUUCCGAGCGUUAUCCGGAUUUACUGGGCGUAAAGCGCGUUCAGGCGGUUUGACAAGUCGGGUGUGAAACCUCCAGGCUCAACCUGGAGACGCCACCCGAUACUGCCAUGGCUAGAGUCCGGUAGGGGACCACGGAAUUCCUGGUGUAGCGGUGAAAUGCGCAGAUAUCAGGAGGAACACCGGUGGCGAAGGCGGUGAUCUGGGCCGGCACUGACGCUGAGGAGCGAAAGCGUGGGUAGCAAACAGG